AGUGAACGCUGGCGGUAGGCCUAACACAUGCAAGUCGAACGGCCGCACAGUAAGCGCUUGCUCUUACGGGUGGCGAGUGACGGACGGGUGAGACAUGGAUCAGAAUCUACUUUUUCGUGGGGGACAACGUAGGGACACUUCCACUAAUACAGAAUACGACCUACGGGUGAAAGCAGGAGAUCUUCAGACCUUUCGCGUUACAAUGAGCCGAUGUCGCAUUAGCUAGUUGGCGUGGUAAGGGCUCACCAAGGCGACGAUCCGUAGCUGAUCUGAGAGGAUGAUCAGCCACACUGGAACUGAGACACGGUCCAGACUCCUACGGGAGGCAGCAGUAGGGAAUAUUGGACAAUGGGCGAAAGCCUGAUGCAGCAAUGCCGCGUGGGUGAAGAAGGUCUUCGGAUUGUAAAACUCUGUUAUUGGGAAAGAAAAGAAGCAGAUGAAAACACGGCUGUUUUGACGGUACCCAAUGAGUAAGCACCGGCUAACUUCGUG
rnacentral:rRNA from 1 species